UACGGAGGGGGCUAGCGUUGUUCGGAAUUACUGGGCGUAAAGCGCACGUAGGCGGCUUUGUAAGUUAGAGGUGAAAGCCCGGAGCUCAACUCCGGAAUUGCCUUUAAGACUGCAUCGCUCGAAUCAUGGAGAGGUGAGUGGAAUUCCGAGUGUAGAGGUGAAAUUCGUAGAUAUUCGCAAGAACACCAGUGGCGAAGGCGGCUCACUGGCCCGAUACUGACGCUGAGGUGCGAAAGCGUGGGGAGCAAACAGG
rnacentral:rRNA from 1 species